UUUGUUUAUAACGUGAAUCUGAAAGGGCAGACAACAAAGAGGAGGAGAAGAGCUGUAGCAAGGCACAUUCUUCCUGCCCAAGGGCUUAAAUCUGAUUUUCAAAAAUACUAAGCUGCCCCAAAAAAACAUGCUUAGGAUCUGAUUCUGUCUCAGGCUGCUCCUUAAGCAUUUUUCUUAGAAGCAGCACCUAUUUGAAACCAACGACUCAGGGUUUGGGGGAGUCUGUGGAGGGGUUCCUCCCGGUGAUUCUUUGGUUACCUGCACUCUGGCCUCAGUGAGGUUCACCCGGCGGGCGAGGUCCUCUCGCACAAAGGCGUCCGGGUAGUGUGUCCGCUCGAAGACGCGUUCCAGGGCCUGCAGCUGACUGCUGUUGAAGGUCGUCCGGUUCCUCCGCUGCUUUCUCUUCUUCUUCUCCUCGGAGUUCAGCUGGUCAUCUGGAGCAGAAGAAAUUGAUGCUAAGGAGCUAACAUCGUGUUAAGGUCCCCACUUACACUCUUGCUGAAUACCCAUGAUGUCAAAAACAAAGCACUGAAAAAUGAGAAUGUUUCCAUCAGACCCACCCAAACCGCCACUGUUAAGUGGGCACAGUGAAAGGGAGAGGUUGAACUGGCUUCGGAAUCAGGAUGACCUGUGCUCUCCCACAGACCCUGCUACUUACUGGCUGCAUGGCCUUGGAUGUUUACGAAUAUUUCAAGGAAAUGUCCACACGGUUUUUAUGGCUGAGUGAUAAAGGACUCCACAGUGUCUGCUCCGUGGUACAAGAAGAGCCAAGUACUUAUUAUAAAACAACUUCCAUUCAGUAAGGAUCUGCUACAUGUCUGGCACCGCGCUAAGCGAGUUCCAUCCAUUAUCUCAGUGAAUGCUAACAACGUACAUGGGAGGCCGUGUGAUCCUCACUGCAGAGAAAGAACAUUAAUGAAGACAUCAGUGGAAGCUCAGAAGAGAUAAGCCCAAUAAAACCUCAAAUAAACCUUAUUGUAAAUCCAG